CGGAGUUUCCAAACUUAGCAGAUUCCUGCAGCCCUGCUCCUCCCAGAGGACGAGAGAAGUUCUCAUAAAGAAAAUUCCACAAGUUACUACGGUGAACAUUUUCGAGGUGGAUCAAGAGACCAUUCAUCACCUAAGCCUGGAUGAAGUCAAAGUCUUAGUCUUGAGCCACACCAUCAUCUCAUGGAAGUUGCCAGAGCUUCUACUCUUUGUUGCAUGUUGGACCAACUCAGCCUAUUUCAAGGAUGCCACCUGUGAAACUUUGUUCUCCUUCUUUCCUCAGAUAAGUAAUUUAUGACAGAGUUGGUAAGUAGGGUUUAUAGAGUAAUAAUCAUCUAUUGGUAGUGACUUUAUGACAUACUGUGUUAAGAAAGAUUCUGAGGUAUUAUGCGGGGUAAAUGGAAAACUAUCACAAUCAGUUAGUUUAAUCAGCCAAGGAGUGCAAAGGGAGGGGGCUGACAUGUUUCCAGAUAUUUGUUAUCUCUGAACAAAGACAGGAGCCUAAUAACGUAAGUAAUCUAGGCAGUUAAGAGGAAAGACCACACAUUUUACUUUCUUAGUAACACCCUAGAUUCUGAGAUACCAGCAACUUCUAUUUUUUUUUUCCCUUUACCUUUCUCAUGGAGUCAGUCAGUAUCUUCUGCUUUAUCCUAUUCAGCUAAAAAGUGUAGCCCUCAUUGACUCCCUGGGUCAAUAGAAUAGUAAUAGGAUUUGGCAUUUAUGUCAAAUUUUAUAGACAUGACCUCUCUUAUUACAAGGUUUUCACCUGGUUGCAGAUGACCUUGUAAACAAUUUGCCUAUGAAAAUCUUUUCAUUAUUAUCAUUGACACUUUGUAUGGAAGAGCAGUUCUCCUUCUUUGAUAUUCAUAGGUUCCCAAUGGUAGGUCCCAUUAGAAGAACAGGGUCCAUACCAAGGAGGUGUCUUCUGAGAUAAUGGGAGUUCCUUGCUCAUUGCUUAUCCCUCCUCUUCUUCUCUUUUCUCACUUGUCCUUCUCCUCAUUCUUUCUACUCCACUCGAUCUUCUUUGUGUUUCCCCCCUCCAUCUAUCCUAUCAACCGUGCCAUGGUUCUGUGGAGAUGUAAUGGCAGCAUUUCUUAUACCAAAGAUGUAAUCUUUAUUCCUGGCCAUCCUGACUGUUGAUUUCCUGCCUGUUCCAGCAAAAUAAGUCGCAACAUGGACAAGAAAAACUGAGAAGCCUCGUACUUCUUUAUCAUGAGCUUCAGCUUAGCUCAAGAAGGUAAAACAGUUGGCCUUCCAUCUCCUUUUCUUUGGGUUAUGUCAGAAUAUCUCUCGGUUUUCCAGAAGUAAGGAGGUCAUGCCAAGUGCUUAAAAUGAAUGUGACAUAAUAGUUUGCUCUAUUCCCAAAGUCUUAUGAAAUUUCUCUAAUACACCAUUAUAGCCACCUGAUAUUUGUAAAUACUUCCCUGUACAUCUGCUCUGGCAAAGGUUACUCAUGCUGUCUGUGAGGCCAUUUAGCUCCAGUGUAGCUACAAGUAGUGUCCUUAUCUACUUGCUGCUUUAUCUCCAUGGACCAUGUCUUGUUUCGUAUCCUUAUCAUCGCUCAGUGAAGUUACUGACACAGUCUCUUCUCUGUUCCUAAUACCAUUUUAUGCAUAUUUUGGGCCAUUCUUUUUUUU